UCGUGUCACCCCAAUUUUAGCAUCACUUCACUGGCUCCCAGUCCGUUUUAAGAUUCAGUUUAAGGUUCUGAUGUUUGUUUUUAAAACUCUUAAUAAUCAAGCUCCUUCCUAUCUCGAGGAUCUUCUUAAACCACAUUCAUCAAACAGAUGUCUAAGAUCUUCUGAUAGGUUUCUUUUGCAUGUCCCUCGUUCCCGGUUAAAAACAAAGGGGGAUAGAGCUUUUGCUGUUGCUGCCCCCGGUCUGUGGAAUCAACUGCCACUGGACAUCCGCCUUGCACCUUCUAUUACCACUUUUAAAAAUAGGCUUAAAACAUAUCUCUUUUGCCAAGCUUUUUGAUCAAAUUUUUAAUUGUUUAAACACAUUUUUAAUCAAUUUUUUCUAUUGUCUAUUGUCUGUUUUUAUUUGGUCUAAUUCUGUUUCUAUGUUACUUUCCUUACUCUGUGCAGCACUUUGGUCAGCUUUGCUGUGUGAAACGGGCUAUAUAAAUAAAUUUUACUUACUUACUUACUAUAAUAUUGAGUUUUUUUUGUUUUGUCUUGUUUUGUUUUAAUUUUUUGAUGCUUCCAAGAGUCUGUGUAAUGAGCUCCAGCCAGUAUAAAAGUUCUCUCUACAUGCUCUUUUAAACACAACAAUAUUUCAGGGUGUGACAGAGUGACAACAAAGCAGUUGUUCACAGAGAUAGGAAACAGAGCUUAAUGCAAUGACACUCACACAUCUGGGUUUGUAAAAUAAAAAUAAAAUACUCAUAAUCCAUUAUGCUGAAAUAAGCAAGUUUCUUAGAUUUUAAUCAAAUUUUCUAUGAGACAAGUGUGUGUUGAUUUGGGCAUCUAGUGUCCAUGUGGAAUGAGGUUUAGAUUCGUUUACAGAACUAAAUUUAACUUACAUAUCCAGUCUUUAAUAUACAAAUCAACUGAAUCACCAAAGAACAAUUUUCCAUUGUGAAUUAUUAAAACCUGUAGAAGACAGAAACCAGCAGGCUGUUUUGAAUGAACCAGCAUAACAAUAUGCAAAUGCAUAUGCAAAACUUCCCCACGUACAACUGCAUAUAGAAAAAAAAUCAGCCUCGGUCACUGUGAGCUCUGUAGAAUUUAACACUGCUUUUAGUUCAACGAUGUUCCUUCCAUUUUUGCUGCUGCUGGCAGCUUCAUCCUAUGUUGGAUGUGCAGUAGAACUCACUCAGGUCACCUCAGUGAUGUUAAAGCCAGGAGAUUCUUUAACCCUCAGCUGUAAAGUAUCAGGCUACUCUGUUACUGAUAACAGCUACGCCACAGCUUGGAUUCGACAACCUGCAGGAAAAACUCUGGAAUGGAUAAACCACAUUUGGGGUGGUGGAGAUACUUAUCAUAAAGAUUCUCUAAAAAGCAAGUUCAGUAUUUCUAAAGACGGCUCCAGCAGCACGGUGAUUCUGAGAGGACAGAAUCUGAAGACAGAAGACACAGCUGUGUAUUACUGUGCCCGCUACACACACUGAUGCUUCUACUUGGGUGCCAAUACAAAAACAUGUGCGUGAUCCUCACACACUGAGCUCAUAUUUUCAUCAUCAGUGUAUUAGAUCUAAGAAUCUAAUGUUCUAAGGAACAUUGAGACUAAUACUGAACUCUAUAACUGUCCUCUAUGCUUAGAAGAACAUCUGGAAUAAGCAACAUUUCCUGAAAUCUCACCUCUGUAAAAUAAGG